GGCCGCUUGCUGGAACUGGUAGACAGACCGGACUUAAAAUCCGAGGCUUUCGGGCGUGUGGGUUCGAGUCCCACAGCGGCCACCA
rnacentral:tRNA from 8 species